GACGAACGCUGGCGGCGUGCUUAACACAUGCAAGUCGAACGGAAAGGCCCUGCUUUUGUGGGGUGCUCGAGUGGCGAACGGGUGAGUAACACGUGAGUAACCUGCCCUUGACUUUGGGAUAACUUCAGGAAACUGGGGCUAAUACCGGAUAGGAGCUCCUGCUGCAUGGUGGGGGUUGGAAAGUUUCGGCGGUUGGGGAUGGACUCGCGGCUUAUCAGCUUGUUGGUGGGGUAGUGGCUUACCAAGGCUUUGACGGGUAGCCGGCCUGAGAGGGUGACCGGCGACAAUGGGACUGAGGUAGGCACCAGACGGCUACGGGAGGCAGCAGGGGGGAAUAUUGCAGAAUGGGCGGAAGCCAGAGGCAGAAGCGCCGCGUGCGGGAUGACCGCCUACGGGGUGUAAACCGAUUUCGACUGUGACGAAGCGUGCGUGACGGUAAUGGGUAAAGAAGCACCGGCUAACUACGUG
rnacentral:rRNA from 1 species